GACGAACGCUGGCGGCGUGCUUAACACAUGCAAGUCGAACGAUAAUGCUGGAGCUUGCUCCAGUUGAUUAGUGGCGAACGGGUGAGUAACACGUGAGCAAUCUGCCCUUGACUCUGGGAUAACUGCGGGAAACUGUAGCUAAUACCGGAUACUUUCACCGGGGGGCAUCCUCUGGUGAUGAAAGAAUUUCGGUCAAGGAUGAGCUCGCGGCCUAUCAGCUUGUUGGUGAGGUAACGGCUCACCAAGGCGACGACGGGUAACCGGCCUGAGAGGGUGGCCGGUCAAAAUGGGACUGAGACACGGGCCAGACUCCUACGGGAGGCAGCAGUGGGGGAUAUUGCAGAAUGGGCGCAAGCCGGAUUCAGCAACGCCGCGUGAGGGAUGAAGGCCUUCGGGUUGUAAACCUCUUUUAGCAGGGAAGAAGCGAAAGUGACGGUACCUGCAGAAAAAGCACCGGCUAACUACGUGCCAGCAGCCGCCGUAA
rnacentral:rRNA from 1 species